AAGACCCCGCCUGGCCCCGCCCAGACACCCAACACGUGCCCUGCCCCCUCCCCACAGGCCCCGGCCAGCCCCACCCAGGCCCCGCCCUGUUCCUCUUCUGCUUCGCCCAGACCCCCGGCCUUCCCUGGCUUGACUCCUGCAGUUCCCCCAGUGCCAGCCCCCUGCAGGCGGACACGGGGUCGGGCCAGUUCCCUACUAGCUCGUGGAACUGGGCGGCGGCGCACGAAGUAGACCCUCCAUAGACUUCGAAAUGGUGCCCACGUGGGCACCGAGCGCCCUACUGUAGCAGUGGACUCGAUCUUGGUCUGGCCUUUAACGUCGGAAGCUCUUUCACUCAGCACACAGAGAUUUGAACUUUGACCCCAAAGAAAAUAAAACUGCAAUGCAAGUCUAAGGUGCCAGGAGGCCGUUACCUGGAAAUUUAGCUUUCAAUGACUUGUGCCUUGGGUGCAUGCCAACGUGGACCGCAGGGGUUCUCAGCCUUCACCUGCGGGGGAUCACCUGCAGGGCUGGUUAGGACACAGACCAGAGAUUCCGGUCUGCAGGCUCCACAGGUGGGCCCCGCCGGCUGCAUUUCCAAGGCAUCGCAGGUGGUAGCGACCGGGUCUACGCCGAGCUAGGUGCCCUCCAUAGGAGUUAAUUUCCUCAUGGAGGCAAAGUCAACAGCCACAAAACAACCGGAAAUAUUGUAAGAUAGAACAGGUUUAUUUGUCAAGGUGGAAGUGGGACUGAGGCUCACUAACUGCCUGACCUGUUAUGUUCCAUAACUAUAAACAUGAUUGUAGGAGGUAGUAGAAAUAGGGUCGCCUCUGCAGACAGGUUUUAAAACUGCAUUUAUACGGUAAACAUAGUGCUUUUCCUUUUUUUUUUUUGUGAGACGGAGUCUCACUCUGUCGCCCAGGCUGGAGUGCAGUGGCAGGAUCUUGGCUCACUGCAACCUCCGUCUCCCAGCCUCCUGAGUAGCUGCGACUACAGGCACCCACCACCAUGCCCACAUAAUUUUGUGUUCUUUGUUUUGUUUUGAGACAGGGUCUGGCUCUGUCAGGCUGGAGUGCAAUGGUGGGAUCAUGGCUCCCUGCAGCCUCGACCUCCUGGGCUCAGGUGAUCCUCCUGCCUCAGCCUCCCCUGUAGCUGGUACUACAGGUGUGUGCCACCUGUAGUAAUUUUUUUGUAUUUCUUGUAGAAAUACGAGAAAUACACCCAGCUAAUUUUUUUGUAUUUCUUGUAGAAAGAGGGUUUCAUCAUGUUGCCCAGGCCGGUCUCAAACUUCUGGGCUCAAGUGAUCCACCCAUCUUGGCCUCCCAAUGUGCAGGGAUUACAGGCAUAAGCCACAGAGCCCGGCCUACAUAUUGCUUAUUAUUCAUACUUAAAAGCGCAUGCCUGGGAAUCGGGGGCUGGAGAGGGCUGAAGGCUCCCCAAGCCACCUUCCCAAAUCCUACGUCUCAUCUGUGCCAUGAAAGGGGCAGGUUAGAUGUCAGCGUUUCCCACACUAGCCUGAGUGUAAGCAUCCACUGAGGGAACUUCCAAAUAAUACAGACUCCCAGAUCACGCUGAUUCCAGGAGGUCUGGGACGGGUGCAAGGAAUUUCAAGAAGUAACAUCAAGUUAUUCUUAUGCUCAGAGAAGGCUAAUAAAUUUGGGGCGAGGCCAAAAGGCGUUGGAAGCCAGUAGUUUGAAAGAAAAAUAGCUUUCCAAAGGCUUUCGCUUUGUAAAAACUAAAUGGUGCCUUUUGGAAUACAAUGUGAACAUAACUUUUCCAAGGAUUUAAGGUGUUGAUGAGAAAGACAUUCUGAGACCUGCCAGCAGAUGGAGCCAUAAAACAAGAAAUAGAUGUUUACAGCCUCAACUCGGGAGAAAAAUACCGUGAAUGCACCUUACACUAUAGAAGUAACACUUUUCCCUCUGCUUUAUUUUCUCUAUAUGCUAAACUCCUUACUUGCCUCUGCUAAAGAACAUCGCUGGAGUGUCUUGGUGUGUGAAGUAUGAAAUAGUUUCUAAAGACAUAAGUUGUGAUAUAGCAAGACAGAGGCAAAACCCCUCAUUCUUCUGAGAGUGUAAACAUCAUGUCGCAAGAAGCUCACCUAAAAUUUGAAAAGGAAAACUCAACGAAAAUUUGAAAAGAAAUUCAAGGAAAAAAAAAUGUGACCUUUAAAAUUUCCAUGUUGACAGCACCACCAGGACCCCUUCUGGGAUCCGUUGCUAGGGAACAGGAGGAUCGGCAUGGCGGAGCACGUUGGUCUGAGCACAUGUGAGGUGUUUAGAAAACUGCAAGUCAUCCAGCACGGGAGCAACGCCAGGCACAGGCAGGGGAGUCGUAGGGGAUGAUGCUGCAGAAGGGACAGACCGGGUUCUAGAAGUUGGCGAGCAAGGAAAUGUGAGCAUCUGGACUGCCGAACGCACCCUGUUAAGUGCUACUCAUGUCGUUCUGAUUGGGCUGAAUUGAAGAGCUGCCCAGCCUCUCCCCUGGCCCUGAGACCCCUGACCUAGAGGGACUAACUAGAGGGACGGCAUGGCAAUGGCAAGUGUACCCAAGACAGCAUGCCCGGAGGUUUAUCCAGGAAUAUUCAUCCAGAGGGAAAGAGCAAUGGACGAUGAGCAUGUUGGACCAGAUGGGCACGUGUCCAAGUGCACCCUAUGGAAUGUAUCAGCAUCGGCCUCGCCUGGAAGCCUGAUAGAAAUGCAGAUUCCCAGGCCCUGCCCAGGCCUGCUGUAUCCGGAUCUCUUGGUGGUGGAGCCCAGGGAUCUGCAUGUCACGAGCUUGCUCAGAGUAUCUGUGAACUGAGUUCAAUCCACAGCCCUCUACUCCAAUGCUAGCCAGACCCUGGGGCCAUUGCCUCUCCCCCCACAUGCCCCUCCAUACUGUCAGCACCUCUGCAUUGUGGCCUUUCUGCCACCCCCAACCGACUUGGGGAUCCCAACCACCCACACCCAGGGGCCUGCACCAGACUGCAGAGUGUUGCCUGAGGGGACACAGUCCACAGUCAUCCUUUUCUCCUCUCCUUCCCAGUUAAUUCCAUUUUCCACGCCUCUCAUGGCGAUUCCUGAUCUUCACAGGCCCCAGAGCCUCUGACCCUGGUGUUCCCCCUGAGAAAAUGAGGCCAGGGUUUGUGAGCUGCCCAUGCCACACCUGUGCCUGCCUCAUCAUGUGGAGUCCCUUUAGCUCAGCUCUAGGGUCCCCCUUCUUGCUUCCUCAAAGAUCCUCCUCUCUCCCAAGUUCCUCUUCUUCUUCUCAAUACUUCUCUCUUCUGGGGCUUCCUCCUUGACACGUCAAUGUUGUCUAGCUGUCUUCAUCAAUUUUCUUUAUUAUUUUAUUUGUAUAUAUUGUAUUUUAUUUUAAGACAGAGUCUUGCUGUGUCAGCCAGCCUGGAGUUCAGUGGUGCAGUCAUAGCUCACUGCAGCCGCGACCUCCUGGGCUCCUGUCUCUUGAGUAGCUGGGACAACAGGCAUGGGCUACUACAGCUGGCUAAUAUUUUCUUUUUACUUUUUAAGAGACAGGGUCUUACUAGUCAUCCUCGUCUUUAAGAACGAAGCAAAACAAGGGUCUCGAAGAGAUAUUUGUACCCACUGUUCAUAGCAGCAUUGUUAAAGAGUUAAUAUGUGGACCCAACCCAAGUGUGUUUCCAUUGAUGAAUAAUGAGCAGAACGGGGUCAUCCGUGCAGUGGGUAUUACCAGCCUUAGAAAGGACGGGAAUCCCGACGCACCCUGCAACAUGGAUGAACCUAGAGGACAUUAAGCUCAGCGAAGUAAGCCAGUGACGAACAGACAAAUAUCAUUCCACUUCUAAGAGGCACUUAGUGUUGUCAAAGUCAAGGACAGACAGUAAAGCAGGGUUGCUGGGGCUGGGGGAGGGGAACGGGGUUGGUGUUUGAUGGGGACAGUGUUUCAGUUUUGCAAGAUGGAAGGAGCUCUGGUGUUGGUGGUGGUUGUCUGACAUUACGACAUUAUGAAUGUAUUUCAUACCAUUGCGCUGUACACAUAAAAAGGAUUAAAAUGGCAAAUUUUAUGUUCUGUGUAUUUUGCCACCAUAAAAACAGUUGGGGGGGAGAAAAAGAAGUAAAACAAAAAUGAAUCCCUACGGCUCCUCCUUUCCUCUUUUCCCUCCAGAGUCCAUCUCCUUGAAAGAAUGGUUUCUUAGGCCCCACGUCCACAUCUUGCCCUCCCACAGUGUGGUUUUGAUUCUCAGAG
rnacentral:lncRNA from 10 species